AUACGGAGGGUGCAAGCGUUAUUCGGAAUCACUGGGCGUAAAGCGUCCGUAGGCGGUCGGGUAAGUCGGGUGAGAAAGCCCCGGGCUCAACCUGGGAAGUGCACCCGAUACUGCUCGACUCGAGUGCGGGAGAGGAUGGCGGAAUUCCCGGUGUAGCGGUGAAAUGCGUAGAGAUCGGGAGGAACACCAGUGGCGAAGGCGGCCAUCUGGCCCGCAACUGACGCUGAGGGACGAAAGCGUGGGGAGCAAACAGGAUUAGAAACCCUAGUAGUCC
rnacentral:rRNA from 1 species